AUUGGCUGAUUAAUGCUAAUUUGAAAUGUUUUGGGGGGGGGAUGGGCAUUCAAUCUUGGUGCAUAGGAGGCUGAGGAAAUUCUAUGGUGGGUGACUGACUCAAAGGCCAACAGCAUAUUUGCCAUCAGAUAAAAAUGCACAUUCACAAACAUACCAAGACAAGUCAAUUAUUCUCUGAUUCACUCUUUCCCUGGGUCCCUUUGUAUAAAGAAAACUAUUUAUACUCCCCAUCAGAUGGAUACAUAGAAUCAUAGUAAACAAGCCCCUGAUUCUACUACUCUAUAUUAUAUUUCCCACGGCACCUUCCAUUGUGGAAUUCAUUAGUUUUGGUCUUUUUGUUCUUGAUUUAUCAAAACAGACAUUUUGCUAGUGAGCUCAGUUUUACUCCCAGAUGCAAAAUAGCAGACACAAUUUCUGACCAACUGAAAAAAAAGAAACAAAACAUGCUUUGUAAUCUUUUGGUGAGGGUGACUGGGAAUUUGUUCUUCUCUACCUCAAUGACUGAUACAUACAAAAACACUUAAAAUCAGAGCUCAAAAGCUUAGGAUUCUUUUCCCCUUUCCCAGCUUAAAAGUUCAAAGAGACAAACCAACCCAUCCUUGUCUUUUGAACUACUCCCAAAACAAUGCAUGUUAGAGAAGUCUAAGUCAGAUAACCCAAAAUGAGGAAAAUUUUUCAGAACCAACACCUUAGAAAACAACAGCAAAUUAACAGGUGCCAUCAUUAUAUUUCACUUAUCAAAUCAGCAAUAGCCUGUAAAAAGAAAAUAACACUCUGUGUGUAAGGGUUCCGGGAACGGAAUCUCCCCCCGGGGAGAGCCAUGCACCUGGGCAGUCAUCACAGGGCAGUGUGCUCCCUGCACAUUUUUGUUAUCAAUGAUAAGGGCUUGGUGGUAUAGAUAUGGGAAGGUUUUUUGUUUGUUUUUUAUUGGAGUUCAAUUUGCCAACAUUUAGCAUAACACCCAGUGCUCAUCCCGCCAAGUGCCCCCCUCAGUGCCCAUCACCCAGUCACCCCAACCCCCCGCCCACCUCCCUUUCCACUACCCCUUGUUCAUUUCCCAGAGUUAGGUGUCUCUCAUGUUUUGUCACCCUCACUGAUAUUUUCACUCAUUUUCUCUCCUUUCGAUAGAAGAAGUUUUUAAAAAUAUUUUGAGAGGGAGGGAGAAGGAGAACAAACAGGAGGAGAGAGAGAGAAGCAGACUCCCUGCUGAGCUGGAUGAGGUGGGGUUGGAUAACACAGGGUUCCACUACUUGGGGCUCCAUCCCAGGACCCUGAGAUCAUGACCUGAGCUCAAGAUAGAUGCUU
rnacentral:lncRNA from 1 species